rnacentral:rRNA from 1 species
GGCGAACGGGUGAGUAACACGUUGGGUAAUCUACCUAUGAGACGGGGAUAGCCCCGGGAAACUGGGGUUAAUACCGGAUGUGAUCCUUGGGGCGCAUGUUCCGAGGAGGAAAGGGUGCAAACCGCUCAUAGAUGAGCCCGCGGCCCAUUAGCUAGUUGGCAGGGUAAGAGCCUACCAAGGCGACGAUGGGUAGCCGGUCUGAGAGGAUGGCCGGCCACACUGGGACUGAGACACGGCCCAGACUCCUACGGGAGGCAGCAGCAAGGAAUUUUGGGCAAUGGGGGAAACCCUGACCCAGCGACGCCGCGUGAGCGAAGAAGGCCUUCGGGUCGUAAAGCUCUGUCUUUGGGGACGAAUGGGAC